rnacentral:rRNA from 1 species
GAUGAACGCUGACAGAAUGCUUAACACAUGCAAGUCAACUUGAACUUCGGUUUGGGUGGCGGACGGGUGAGUAACGCGUAAAGAACUUGCCUCACAGCUAGGGACAACAUUUGGAAACGAAUGCUAAUACCUGAUAUUAUGAUUAUAUGGCAUCGUAUAAUUAUGAAAGCUAUAUGCGCUGUGAGAGAGCUUUGCGUCCCAUUAGCUAGUUGGAGAGGUAACAGCUCACCAAGGCGAUGAUGGGUAGCCGGCCUGAGAGGGUGAUCGGCCACAAGGGGACUGAGACACGGCCCUUACUCCUACGGGAGGCAGCAGUGGGAAAUAUUGGACAAUGGACCGGGAGUCUGAUCCAGCAAUUCUGUGUGCACGAUGAAGUUUUUCGGAAUGUAAAGUGCUUUCAGUUGGGAAGAAAAAAUGACGGUACCAACAGAAGAAGUGACGGCUAAAUACGUG